UAGUCAGGGCUGAUGGUGACACAGAGGGGAGGUUAUGGGUUGGCCCAAGAAGCUCUGGCACCCCCUAUAAGGAGCCCUGGGCUGCCUGAGGCCAGAUUCUGACUCUGAUGUGGGAGACAUAGAAGAAGUGGAACAGGAUUUCAUUGGCAAGGACCCUGCCGUCAACCCAAGCAGAACAGACCAGGACUGGGAAACGGCGUUGGCAGCUUCCUCCCUGGCCUAGGUGGCGGAGUACACAGGUCCCAAGCUCUUCAAGGAGCCCAGUAGAAAGUCCAACAAGCCCAUCAUCCACAAGGCCAUCUCCCACUGCCGGGAAGGUGAAGGAGCCUCACAAAAACUCCAUAUUGGAGGAGCUGGAGAAGUGUGACGCCAAUCACAACUUCAUCCUAUUUUGUGAGACAGGCUGCCAAUUCAGGGUGCUGUACUGCUACUACCCGGACACCCAGGAGAUCUGCAAGCUCACACGCCCAGGGCCCAGGAGAACCACCAAGAAGAUGAUCUACAAGCUGUACAAAUACAGCUUGGGCCGAAACAGUUCAGCCUGAUCCAGCCAAGACCAUGUCUGUCAGCGUGGACACCCUCUGCAUCCAUAACCACUGUGGCAGCCCAAGUGGCCUGCAGUGCCAAAGAAAAACCAGACUCUUAAGUGGCCCCAGUACAGCCCGGGGUCUGAGGAUGCCAUCGGGAUCCGUAGUUACUGUUUCCUUUACUGGGGUACGAAGCUUGCAGAGACACUGACCUUUUUCAGAGGCAUUUAGACCACAACACAAGCCCUCUC
rnacentral:lncRNA from 1 species